UUUCCGUAGGUGAACCUGCGGAAGGAUCAUUAAAGAACGCACCGUUUUUUGAAAUGGGUAAUUCUAAACCGUGUAUACAUACCUUCGUUGCUUUGGCAGACCGCCCCUCAGGGCGUCGGCUCCGGCUGACUGCGCCUGCCAGAGGACCCAAACUCUUUUGUUUAGUGAUGUCUGAGUACUAUAUAAUAGUUAGAACUUUCAACAACGGAUCUCUUGGUUCUG
rnacentral:misc_RNA from 1 species